CGGGAGGACAGGAUAUAAAGAGAAAGGAUUGAACAAAACUGUACGAGUGCAUGACAAUAUUUCAACCUGACGAUGUGUUGUCGAGUAGAAAACUUAAUUGGAAAAUCACUAUCUAGAUAACAGCUGAUCUAAUUGGUAAAUUAGAAAUUAAAACAAACAAAUUCAAGAAAUAGGAAUUGCAAUUCUUAAUUAAUGCUACACUACAUGUCUUCUUAUUGCCUCAUCUCUUCUCUCAAUUGUUUAAUUGUUUGGAGUGCCUCAUCCCUUUCCUGGAAUGCCUCAAGUAGAUUUGUUUGGAGGUGAAGACUGUCAACUUUGAUUUCAUUAUGUACAGUUUCGUAUUGGUGCAGCAGCUCCUCCAUCUUCCUUCUCAGUCCUUCCUCAUUUCUUAUUUUUUUAAUCUAACUUAUUAAAGAAGUUCUCAAUUUCUUCAGGAUUCUCCAUUUCUGCAGGAUUUUAAAAAACUAAAUUAAUGUCAUUUACAUAAUUAAAUAAAGGUGGCCAAAAAACAUUGAUCAUGACCAUAAACAGAAAUGCAGUUCGGUCUGGUCGAGAGUUGCAAUAGCUGUGAAACUGCCAUAGAAGAUAAGGUAUUCAGGUAUGGAGGGUGGGCGUAGAGAGGUGGGAAGACUGAAUUGGUAAAAGAGAACACACAAUUGCGACUGCACUUUAUCAAUAGUCACCAGAUCACAGAAUUGCGAAUUCAGUGCUAUAUACUCAUUUCCCAAUUUAAACUUUGUUUGAUAAAUAAUUGAUUUUAAGAAAUAACCCUUUUUUAUCUCAAAUUCUCUAAACUAAGCUGAAUCAAAGACACAACAUGUUCACAAAAAGAGAAAAAGAAAAAACUCUGAACCCUAGAGCGACAGCCUCACUCACAAAAAAAAAUCCACAGCUUCCAUUUGAUUUAAUUUGGCAAAUCAGUGGCAAAGGGAGAAAAACAAUUGCGUGGAUAGUUUCUGAAGAAUGUUACCGGAAAAUCUUCAAACGGCCUAGUGCAAAAAGAGAGAAAUAGUGAGGGAACCUGAAGAAUGUUACCUGAAACGGCGCAACACGAAAAGGGAAAAGCGUUUGAAAUAGGAGAGAAUGCGCCAGAUAGCGAUGAGGAGCAGAGAGAACUGAGAAGGAACAAUAGCAGAGGGAAG
rnacentral:lncRNA from 1 species